rnacentral:tRNA from 1 species
GGCGGGAUUCCCGAGCGGUCAAAGGGAGCAGAUUGUAAAUCUGCCGGCUCUGCCUUCGAAGGUUCGAAUCCUUCUCCCGCCACCA